rnacentral:rRNA from 6 species
AGACCCGAAACCCGGUGAUCUAGCCAUGGGCAGGUUGAAGGUUGGGUAACACUAACUGGAGGACCGAACCGACUAAUGUUGAAAAAUUAGCGGAUGACCUGUGGCUGGGGGUGAAAGGCCAAUCAAACCGGGAGAUAGCUGGUUCUCCCCGAAAGCUAUUUAGGUAGCGCCUCGUGAAUUCAUCUCCGGGGGUAGAGCACUGUUUCGGCUAGGGGGCCAUCCCGGCUUACCAACCCGAUGCAAACUGCGAAUACCGGAGAAUGUUAUCACGGGAGACACACGGCGGGUGCUAACGUCCGUCGUGAAGAGGGAAACAACCCAGACCGCCAGCUAAGGUCCCAAAGUCAUGGUUAAGUGGGAAACGAUGUGGGAAGGCCCAGACAGCCAGGAUGUUGGCUUAGAAGCAGCCAUCAUUUAAAGAAAGCGUAAUAGCUCACUGGUCGAGUCGGCCUGCGCGGAAGAUGUAACGGGGCUAAACCAUGCACCGAAGCUGCGGCAGCGAACGUAUCACCCAAGACAACUUUACGGAGUUGACGAUUGACGGAGCGAAGCGACGUCAAAGCGUUCAUUAAAGUCGAGUUGGCUUAGGGAUACGUUCGUUGGGUAGGGGAGCGUUCUGUAAGCCUGUGAAGGUGUGUCGUGAGGCAUGCUGGAGGUAUCAGAAGUGCGAAUGCUGACAUAAGUAACGAUAAAGCGGGUGAAAAGCCCGCUCGCCGGAAGACCAAGGGUUCCUGUCCAACGUUAAUCGGGGCAGGGUGAGUCGACCCCUAAGGCGAGGCCGAAAGGCGUAGUCGAUGGGAAACGGGUUAAUAUUCCCGUACUUGGUGUUACUGCGAAGGGGGGACGGAGAAGGCUAUGUUGGCCGGGCGACGGUUGUCCCGGUUUAAGCGUGUAGGUGUGUGUUCCAGGUAAAUCCGGUUCACUUUAACACUGAGGCGUGACGACGAGGCACUACGGUGCUGAAGCAACAAAUGCCCUGCUUCCAGGAAAAGCCUCUAAGCAUCAGGUAACAUCAAAUCGUACCCCAAACCGACACAGGUGGUCAGGUAGAGAAUACCAAGGCGCUUGAGAGAACUCGGGUGAAGGAACUAGGCAAAAUGGUGCCGUAACUUCGGGAGAAGGCACGCUGACAC